CCCAAUCUGAAUCCCUGUUGCGAUCAUAACGAUGGUACCAGCAUUCCUCAUCCUGGCAGAUUUUUAUCCAAAUUUGUCAAGAACUGGGAACAAGCAGUGCGAAUAUAUCUUGUUGACAAGCUGCGAGAUUUUUACGCUAGAAAAGAUAGAUCCGUAACAACUUGCUCGUAUAAUACUUUUUGUUUGUGGAAACACCACGUAAAUUUAUUACUGCAAAGCUUUCGAUCCGUAAGCCCGGAC